rnacentral:lncRNA from 1 species
AUGACUGUUGUUUCUGUGUCAAAUAUUAGAAGAGGAAAAUGCAAACUGCACGGUUUAACUAUUAUCAUCUCACUACAGAAAUCCUUCUUCAACAAAAAGAAUUUGUCAAAAAGAUUUUUGAUACUCCCAGCGAUUGAGACAGCAUGGAAAACAAGUCACUGUCUGCAACCUUUUCCACUCUUGGCUGUUACUGCAAAAAUACCAGAAAUUAACAACUUGAAGAAAUUAAUUGAAGAUGAAGGAAAUACCAUAUCCCCAUGUAAGGGGCAAAGAAAAGGCAUGCUUCUCUUUGCUGCACAUUAUUAGAACUUGUCUGCCCUCCUCAGCCCUUCAGCACUAAUGGUGCUGAAGUCCAUGAAAGAUAAUUGCCCUGAGUCAUUCUCUAGUCACGGAGAAGGUAAGAUUAAUAAAAAACAUUUGUUAUAAUUUUGCA